UACGGAGGGGGCUAGCGUUGUUCGGAAUUACUGGGCGUAAAGCGCACGUAGGCGGCUUUGUAAGUUAGAGGUGAAAGCCCGGAGCUUAACUCCGGAACUGCCUUUAAGACUGCAUCGCUAGAAUCGUGGAGAGGUGAGUGGAAUUCCGAGUGUAGAGGUGAAAUUCGUAGAUAUUCGGAAGAAACACCAGUGGCGAAGGCGGCUGACUGGUCCGGUUCUGACGCUGAGACACGGAAAGCGUGGGGAGCAAACAGG
rnacentral:rRNA from 1 species